rnacentral:rRNA from 1 species
GACUAAGCGUACACGGUGGAUGCCCUGGCAGUCAGAGGCGAUGAAGGGCGUGCUAAUCUGCGAUAAGCGCCGGUAAGGUGAUAUGAACCGUUAUAACCGGCGAUACCCGAAUGGGGAAACCCAGUGUGAUUCGUCACACUAUCAUUAACUGAAUCCAUAGGUUAAUGAGGCGAACCGGGGGAACUGAAACAUCUAAGUACCCCGAGGAAAAGAAAUCAACCGAGAUUCCCCCAGUAGCGGCGAGCGAACGGGGAGGAGCC